rnacentral:rRNA from 1 species
GGAGGGGGAUAACUACUGGAAACGGUAGCUAAUACCGCAUAACGUCGCAAGACCAAAGUGGGGGACCUUCGGGCCUCAUGCCAUCAGAUGUGCCCAGAUGGGAUUAGCUAGUAGGUGGGGUAACGGCUCACCUAGGCGACGAUCCCUAGCUGGUCUGAGAGGAUGACCAGCCACACUGGAACUGAGACACGGUCCAGACUCCUACGGGAGGCAGCAGUGGGGAAUAUUGCACAAUGGGCGCAAGCCUGAUGCAGCCAUGCCGCGUGUGUGAAGAAGGCCUUCGGGUUGUAAAGCACUUUCAGCGGGGAGGAAGGCGAUAAGGUUAAUAACCUUGGCGAUUGACGUUACCCGCAGAAGAAGCACCGGCUAACUCCGUGCCAGCAGCCGCGGUAAUACGGAGGGUGCAAGCGUUAAUCGGAAUUACUGGGCGUAAAGCGCACGCAGGCGGUCUGUCAAGUCGGAUGUGAAAUCCCCGGGCUCAACCUGGGAACUGCAUUCGAAACUGGCAGGCUAGAGUCUUGUAGAGGGGGGUAGAAUUCCAGGUGUAGCGGUGAAAUGCGUAGAGAUCUGGAGGAAUACCGGUGGCGAAGGCGGCCCCCUGGACAAAGACUGACGCUCAGGUGCGAAAGCGUGGGGAGCAAACAGGAUUAGAUACCC